CCGUGCCCUGGUCGACCUGGCCCGCGACCCGGUGCGCUUCGGUCCCACCAUCGCCGGCCGGGCCGCCCGCCGGUUGCGCGGG
rnacentral:tRNA from 1 species